rnacentral:snRNA from 1 species
GCACAUAAUGCAUAACACGAA